AUUGAACGCUGGCGGCAUGCCUUACACAUGCAAGUCGAACGGCAGCGGGGACUUCGGCCCGCCGGCGAGUGGCGAACGGGUGAGUAAAGUAUCGGAACGUACCUUUCAGUGGGGGAUAACGUAGCGAAAGUUACGCUAAUACCGCAUAUUCUGUGAGCAGGAAAGCAGGGGAUCGCAAGACCUUGCGCUGAUUGAGCGGCCGAUAACCGAUUAGCUGGUUGGUGAGGUAAAGGCUCACCAAGGCGACGAUCCGUAGCUGGUCUGAGAGGACGAUCAGCCACACUGGGACUGAGACACGGCCCAGACUCCUACGGGAGGCAGCAGUGGGGAAUAUUGGACAAUGGGGGAAACCCUGAUCCAGCGACGCCGCGUGGGUGAAGAAGGCCUGCGGGUUGUAAAGCCCUUUCGGUAGGGACGAAAGCUCUCGACCUAACACGUCGGGAGGUUGACUUAACCUACAAAAGAAGCACCGGCUAACUCUGUGCCAGCCGCCGCGGUAA
rnacentral:rRNA from 1 species